AGACACGGUCCAGACUCCUACGGGAGGCAGCAGUGGGGAAUUUUGCGCAAUGGGCGAAAGCCUGACGCAGCGACGCCGCGUGGGGGAGGAAGGCCUUCGGGUUGUAAACCCCUUUCGUGAGGGAAAAAGUGCCGAGUAAUCGGCAUGAUGGUACCUUAGGAAGAAGCCACGGCUAACUCUGUGCCAGCAGCCGCGGUAAGACAGAG
rnacentral:rRNA from 1 species